rnacentral:rRNA from 1 species
UAUUGCACAAUGGGGGAAACCCUGAUGCAGCGACGCCGCGUGAGCGAAGAAGUAUUUCGGUAUGUAAAACUCUAUCAGCAGGGACGAAAAUGACGGUACCUGAUUAAGAAGCACCGGCUAACUACGUGACGGCAGCCGCGGUAAUACGUAGGGGGCAAGCGUUAUCCGGAUUUACUGGGUGUAAAAGGAGCGUAAACGGCAGCACAAGUCUGGAGUGAAAUGCCGGGGCUUAACCCCGGAACUGCUUUGGAAACUGUGCAGCUAGAGUGCAGGAGAGGUAAGUGGAAUUCCUAGUGUAGCGGUGAAAUGCGUAGAUAUUAGGAGGAACACCAGUGGCGAAGGCGGCUUACUGGACUGUAACUGACGUUGAGGCUCGAAAGCGUGGGGAGCAAACAGG